CAGCAGUGGGGAAUAUUGCACAAUGGGCGCAAGCCUGAUGCAGCCAUGCCGCGUGUAUGAAGAAGGCCUUCGGGUUGUAAAGUACUUUCAGUCGUGAGGAAGGUGGUGUUGUUAAUAGCAGCAUCAUUUGACGUUAGCGACAGAAGAAGCACCGGCUAACUCCGUGCCAGCAGCCGCGGUAAUACGGAGGGUGCGAGCGUUAAUCGGAAUUACUGGGCGUAAAGCGCAUGCAGGUGGUGGAUUAAGUCAGAUGUGAAAGCCCGGGGCUCAACCUCGGAACCGCAUUUGAAACUGGUUCACUAGAGUACUGUAGAGGGGGGUAGAAUUUCAGGUGUAGCGGUGAAAUGCGUAGAGAUCUGAAGGAAUACCGGUGGCGAAGGCGGCCCCCUGGACAGAUACUGACACUCAGAUGCGAAAGCGUGGGGAGCAAACAGGAUUAGAUACCCUGGUAGUCCACGCCGUAAACGAUGUCUACUUGGAGGUUGUGGCCUUGAGCCGUGGCUUUCGGAGCUAACGCGUUAAGUAGAC
rnacentral:rRNA from 1 species